rfam:Dipodomys ordii contig_27456, whole genome shotgun sequence.
GGUGGCUCAGUGGUAGAGUGCUUGCCUGGCAUGCAUGAAACCCUGGGGUUCAAUUCCUCAGCACCA